rnacentral:rRNA from 1 species
CGGGGCUAAACCAUGCACCGAAGCUGCGGCAGCGACACUAUGUGUUGUUGGGUAGGGGAGCGUUCUGUAAGCCUGCGAAGGUGACCUGUGAGGGUUGCUGGAGGUAUCAGAAGUGCGAAUGCUGACAUAAGUAACGAUAAAGCGGGUGAAAAGCCCGCUCGCCGGAAGACCAAGGGUUCCUGUCCAACGUUAAUCGGGGCAGGGUGAGUCGACCCCUAAGGCGAGGCCGAAAGGCGUAGUCGAUGGGAAACAGGUUAAUAUUCCUGUACUUGGUGUUACUGCGAAGGGGGGACGGAGAAGGCUAUGUUAGCCGGGCGACGGUUGUCCCGGUUUAAGCAUGUAGGCUGAUUGNNNNNNNNNNCUGUACUUGGUGUUACUGCGAAGGGGGGACGGAGAAGGCUAUGUUAGCCGGGCGACGGUUGUCCCGGUUUAAGCAUGUAGGCUGGUUAUCCAGGCAAAUCCGGAUAAUCAAGGCUGAGGUGUGAUGACGAGGCACUACGGUGCUGAAGUAACAAAUGCCCUGCUUCCAGGAAAAGCCUCUAAGCAUCAGGUAACAUCAAAUCGUACCCCAAACCGACACAGGUGGUCAGGGAGAGAAUACCAAGGCGCUUGAGAGAACUCGGGUGAAGGAACUAGGCAAAAUGGUGCCGUAACUUCGGGAGAAGGCACGCUGGUGUGUAGGUGAAGCCCCUGCGGGNNNNNNNNNNAGGCGCUUGAGAGAACUCGGGUGAAGGAACUAGGCAAAAUGGUGCCGUAACUUCGGGAGAAGGCACGCUGGUGUGUAGGUGAAGUCCCUGCGGAUGGAGCUGAGACCAGUCGAAGAUACCAGCUGGCUGCAACUGUUUAUUAAAAACACAGCACUGUGCAAACACGAAAGUGGACGUAUACGGUGUGACGCCUGCCCGGUGCCGGAAGGUUAAUUGAUGGGGUUAUCCGUAAGGAGAAGCUCUUGAUCGAAGCCCCGGUAAACGGCGGCCGUAACUAUAACGGUCCUAAGGUAGCGAAAUUCCUUGUCGGGUAAGUUCCGACCUGCACGAAUGGCGUAAUGAUGGCCAGGCUGUCUCCACCCGAGACUCAGUGAAAUUGAACUCGCUGUGAAGAUGCAGUGUACCCGCGGCAAGACGGAAAGACCCCGUGAACCUUUACUAUAGCUUGACACUGAACAUUGAGCCUUGAUGUGUAGGAUAGGUGGGAGGCUUUGAAGCGUGGACGCCAGUCUGCGUGGAGCCAACCUUGAAAUACCACCCUUUAAUGUUUGAUGUUCUAACGUUGGCCCCUGACCGGGGUUGCGGACAGUGUCUGGUGGGUAGUUUGACUGGGGCGGUCUCCUCCCAAAGCGUAACGGAGGAGCACGAAGGUUAGCUAAUCCUGGUCGGACAUCAGGAGGUUAGUGCAAUGGCAUAAGCUAGCUUGACUGCGAGCGUGACGGCGCGAGCAGGUGCGAAAGCAGGUCAUAGUGAUCCGGUGGUUCUGAAUGGAAGGGCCAUCGCUCAACGGAUAAAAGGUACUCCGGGGAUAACAGGCUGAUACCGCCCAAGAGUUCAUAUCGACGGCGGUGUUUGGCACCUCGAUGUCGGCUCAUCACAUCCUGGGGCUGAAGUAGGUCCCAAGGGUAUGGCUGUUCGCCAUUUAAAGUGGUACGCGAGCUGGGUUUAGAACGUCGUGAGACAGUUCGGUCCCUAUCUGCCGUGGGCGCUGGAGAA